CAGCCGCCGCGCUAAUACGUAGGGUGCGAGCGUUACUCGGAUUUACUGGGCGUAAAGCGUGCGCAGGCGGCCCGUUAAGACAGGUGUGAAAUCCCUGGGCUCAACCUAGGAAUUGCGCUUGUGACUGGCGGGCUCGAGUACGGUAGAGGGGGGUGGAAUUCCUGGUGUAGCAGUGAAAUGCGUAGAGAUCAGGAGGAACACCGAUGGCGAAGGCAGCCCCCUGGGCCUGUACUGACGCUCAUGCACGAAAGCGUGGGGAGCAAACAGGAUUAGAUACCCUGGUAGUCCACGCCCGAAACGAUGGGUACUAGCCGUUUGGUGCGCGAUAGCGCUGAGUGGCGAAGCUAACGCGAGAAGUACCCCGCCUGGGGAGUACGGCCGCAAGGUUGAAACUUAAAGGAAUUGGCGGG
rnacentral:rRNA from 1 species